rnacentral:rRNA from 1 species
UACAGAGGGGGCAAGCGUUGUUCGGAAUUACUGGGCGUAAAGGGCGCGUAGGCGGCCUUCUAAGUCGAACGUGAAAUCCCCGGGCUCAACCCGGGAACUGCGUCCGAGACUGAAAGGCUCGAAUCCGGGAGAGGGAUGUGGAAUUCCAGGUGUAGCGGUGAAAUGCGUAGAUAUCUGGAGGAAUACCGGUGGCGAAGGCGGCAUCCUGGACCGGCAUUGACGCUGAGGAGCGAAAGCCAGGGGAGCAAACGGG